rnacentral:rRNA from 1 species
ACGCUCGACACCUACGGGAGGCGCAGUCGGGAAUAUUGCGCAAUGGANAAACGGGGGGGGGGGGGGGGGGGGGGGGGGGUCUGACGCAGUGACGCCGCGUGCAGGAAGAAGGUUUUCGGAUUGUAAACUGCUUUAGACAGGGAAGAAAGAAAUGACAGUACCUGUAGAAUAAGCUCCGGCUAACUACGUACCAGCAGCCGCGGUAAUCUGAGCGGGCUGGCAAGGC